rnacentral:rRNA from 1 species
UACGGAGGGUGCGAGCGUUAAUCGGAAUAACUGGGCGUAAAGGGCGCGCAGGCGGGUUUUUAAGUGAGAUGUGAAAUCCCCGGGCUUAACCUGGGAAUGGCAUUUGAGACUGGGAGACUAGAGUGCAGGAGGGGGGGGUAGAAUUCCACGUGUAGCGGUGAAAUGCGUAGAGAUGUGGAGGAAUACCGGAGGCGAAGGCGGCCCCUUGGGAUUGUACUGACGCUGAGGUGCGAAAGCGUGGGGAGCAAACAGG